CUUGCACAUCGGGACAUUCAUCGUGUUUUGUUUUGUUGUAGCCUCACCCACACCCCAUCCCGAUAUCCAUUCAGGUUCCUACAUACGCGUCCUCGUCUUCUCCACUCUCCUCGGGCUCUCCAAGUUUCCGCGCGACAUCUCCAUUCCCCCCCGACCACCACCCGACCAAACGUCUCCUCGAGCUUCCGCGACCUUCCUCCUCCUCCUCCUCCUCCUCCUCUUCUUCUUCGUCUCGCCUCGCUUCACUCGCACCUCCAACGUUUCCCACUUUCCCGCUUCGUUUCCUACAUCUUCCGAAUCCUCCUCCUCCUGCUCUUCCUCCUCCCCCUCCCCCUCCCUCUCCUCCAGUUCGUCGUUGCCUCGUUUCGAGACCGCAACGAGCAUCUGGCCACGCCGUCGAUUCUCAGAGGAGAGCCCCAGAAGAUGAAGCGAUUCGCCGACCAACGUCAUCCACGCGCAUCCCGCAUCCUGGAUCGUCGUCGAUAGCUCGACACCGUCAACUAGCCUGCUCGAAUUCAACGCGGGGAGCGUACUUUUCCGGUUGACCAUCCCGGAACCCCUUCACUGAUACUUGAACCAAGCUCUACGUCCUCCCGAGCGACCGCCAGCGUCGAUAUCCUCCUCUUGAUCGUACCGAACGGGAACAUCGUCGAGUGGCUCGACAUCGUCCGAGAGCAAGCGAACGAAGGAGGAUCUCGAACGAAGAACAGAAGAAGAGGGUGGACCAUCUCGAAUGGGAACAUCACGUUCACGGAUGGAAAGAAGAAUAUGGAGAAAAGAAACAAAAAAAGAGAAAAAAAGGAAUCGCACUUGAGAGAGAGAGAGAAAAAGAAGAAGAAAAAAAAACAGAGAUAGAAAUCUCCGGCCGUCUCUUUCUCUCCUCAAAUCCCUCUCUUUCGCUCGAAUAGAACAGCCGGGCCGAAACGUGCGAUAAACGUUGAACAGUUCCGCGCGAACUAGGCUCGCCG